AGGCUAAAUACUCAUCAUUGACCGAUAGUGAACAAGUACCGUGAGGGAAAGGUGAAAAGAACCCCGGGAGGGGAGUGAAAUAGAACAUGAAACCGUCAGCUGACAAGCAGUGGGAGGGAGUUGUUCCUGACCGCGUGCCUGUUGAAGAAUGAGCCGGCGACUUAUAGUUAGUGGCAGGUUAAGGUAGUGAAUACUGAAGCCACAGUGAAAGCGAGCCUGAAUAGGGCGUUUGUCACUAGUUAUAGACCCGAACCCGGAUGAUCUAACCAUGGUCAGGUUGAAGCUUAGGUAAUACUAAGUGGAGGUCCGAACCGACUGAUGUUGAAAAAUCAGCGGAUGAGCUGUGGUUAGGGGUGAAAUGCCAAUCGAACCCGGAGCUAGCUGGUUCUCCCCGAAAUACGUUGAGGCGUAGCGUCUAGUGCUAUAGCAGGGGGGUAAAGCCACCGUUUCGGUGCGGGCUGCGAGAGCGGUACCAAAUCGAGACGAACUCUGAAUACCCAAUGUGUAGCCAGGCAGUCAGACUGUGGGGGAUAAGCUCCAUUGUCAAGAGGGAAACAGCCCAGAGCACCAGUUAAGGCCCUUAAAUAAUUACUAAGUGGUAAAGGAGGUGGGGGUGCAUAGACAAUCAGGAGGUUUGCUUAGAAGCAGCAAUCCUUUAAAGAGUGCGUAAUAGCUCACUGGUCGAGCGAUCCUGCGCCGAAAAUGAACGGGGCUAAGUAGUCUACCGAAGCUGCGGAUUUAACUUGUUAAAUGGUAGGGGAGCGUUCCAUGUGGGGCGAAGCGUUAGCGUAAGCGGGCGUGGACUGCAUGGAAGUGAGAAUGUCGGCUUGAGUAGCGAAAACAUGGGUGAGAAUCCCAUGCCCCGAAACCCUAAGGGUUCCUCCGGCAGGCUCGUCCGCGGAGGGUUAGUCAGGACCUAAGGCGAGGCCGAAAGGCGUAGUCGAUGGACAACAGGUCAACAUUCCUGUACCUGUCAUGUUUUGGGAAGGGGGACGGAGAAGGCUAGCCCAGCCAGAUGUUGGUUACUGGUCCAAGCGUUCGAGGCGUUGAGAGCUGGAGAAAACAGCUUGAGCUGAGGCGUGAGUGCGAGCUUCUACGGAAGCGAAGUUGGUGACGUCAAGCUUCCAAGAAAAGCCCUAUACCCGUUAAGGCAUGACGGCCUGUACCCGAAACCGACACAGGUGGGGUGGUAGAGAAUACCGAGGGGCGCGAGAUAACUCUCUCUAAGGAACUCGGCAAAAUGACUCCGUAACUUCGGGAGAAGGAGUGCCUUAUUCUUAAGGUUGCAAUAACAAGAUCCAAGCAACUGUUUACCAAAAACACAGGUCUCCGCUAAGUCGUAAGACGAUGUAUGGGGGCUGACGCCUGCCCAGUGCCAGAAGGUUAAAGAAGUCGGUUAGCAAUCGCGAAGCUGGUAACUGAAGCCCUGGUGAACGGCGGCCGUAACUAUAACGGUCCUAAGGUAGCGAAAUUCCUUGUCGGGUAAG
rnacentral:rRNA from 1 species